rnacentral:ncRNA from 1 species
AUUCAUGCGAUGAUAAAGAAAAGUACUUUAUGUGAAUCUUAUAGAGAGAUGAUGGAUGGUGUAAAUCAUUAGAUUUUUUAAAGGAAUGGAGCUUUUGAGCAAUAUUUUAUGAAAGCAGGGCCUAUGCCAAUAAGGGUGGAACCGCGGAUUUAUCCGUCCCUUAA